AUGGCUACUUGCACCACACCUUCAUCCUCGCUCAUGGUAACGCACGCCGCCUCCACCGUACAUCCCCAAGACCUCACCCUUUCGGUUCUAUCCUUCAAGUCCAACAAGCCCUCCUUUUCUCUCAAGACUUCUUCCAUAGACAGAAAACCCGGCAUAGGAUGGGCUAAUCUGUGUGCCCGGAGAGGCUCCAAUCAUUUCGUUGUGGCUGCCGUGGCUACGGAGGCCGAGGUGACUGAGGCUGCGGAGGAAGAGGACGGAGCGGCUGACGGUGGCUCUGCUACCGCUACUAUUACUGCCCCAUUGAAACCCAAGAAAGGAAAGGCGGCGUUGCCUCUUAAGAGAGACAGAACGAGAUCCAAGAGAUUCUUGGAAAUUCAAAAAUUAAGGGAAAACAAAAGGGAACAUGAUCUAAAGACAUCAAUAUCUUUGCUAAAGGAAAUGUCAAGUACAAAGUUUGUAGAGACAGCUGAAGCCCAUUUCCGCCUUAACAUUGAUCCCAAGUACAAUGAUCAACAGCUGCGAGCAACCGUGAAUUUGCCUAAGGGAACAGGACAAAAGGUUAAGGUUGCCGUUCUUACUCAAGGUGAAAAGUUCGAUGAAGCAAAAAAUGCUGGAGCAGAUAUUGUCGGUGGUGAGGACUUGAUUGAACAAAUAAAAGGAGGAUUCAUGGACUUUGACAAACUGAUUGCUUCACCAGAUAUGAUGGUUAAGGUUGCAAGUCUUGGAAAGAUUCUAGGACCACGUGGGCUGAUGCCAAAUCCGAAAGCUGGUACCGUUACACCAAAUAUACCUCAGGCUAUCGAAGAAUUCAAAAAGGGUAAAGUUGAAUACAGGGCUGAUAAAACUGGGAUCGUUCACAUACCUUUUGGCAAAGUAGACUUCUCUGAAGAAGACCUCCUUAUCAACUUUCUUGCAGCAGUAAAAUCGAUUGAAACAAACAAACCAAAAGGUGCCAAAGGAGUAUACUGGAAAAGUGCGCAUAUAUGCACUUCGAUGGGUCCUUCGAUCAAGUUAAAUAUAAGGGAGAUGCUUGAUUACAAGCCUCCAUCGAACAUUUGAAGAAUGGCGACUACUAACAGUUGAUAAUGUCUUUGACCCUUCAAUCAGCUAUGUGGGCAUUCUAUGCAGAACAUGCAGUGCUCAAUGGAAUUGGCCGGGGGUGUUAGAUAAAGAUCGAAUCAUUCUGUAUACAGACUGGGACUUGUAUCAUCAUAUGACUAAUAGCAUCAAUUUUAUUUAUUGCUAUUUUCUCUCUCAGUCGAAGGUGUUUUGAGUAGAA